AUGGUCCCACAUCGAGCUUCGUGUUUUCUCCACAGCCACAGCAACACGGUCCCUCGCCGAGCUUCGUGUUAUCUCCACAGCCACAGUAGCACGGUCCCUCGUCCAGUUUCGUGUUUGAGCCAGAGCAGACGUCACAGCCAGCAGAUGGCUAAGGGUACUCAGUGGGUGCUUAGCCCUAUUGUUCAUGUCCAAGGCUUUUCUCCAAGUGUUGUGCAAGUUAGUGAAGUGGACCUCACUUUUGAUUGGUUGAAGACUAAAUUCAUGUUGAAGCAAGGGUUGAAGGAAGACGAUUUUGUGUACUACGUCAGCAGUAAGCAGUCAGAUGGCCCUGGGGAAAGAAAAUUGAUUGACAUAACUGAUGAUGGCAAGAUUCAAGAAAUGCUGAGCGAAUGGGAAUGGAAAAGGGUUGUUGAGUUGCAUUGCUACAGGAAACCGAGUUAUAUGUGA
rnacentral:rRNA from 1 species